UUAAGAACAUAAGAGGUGGUGUCUUGGUUUGCUCUGGCUGCCAUAAUAAAACACCACAGGCUCUGUGACUUAAACAAUAGAGAUUUAUUUUCUCACAGUUCUGGAAGCUGUGAAGUCCAAGAUCAAGGUCAGGUAGGGCUGGUUUCUGGUGAGAGGUCUCUUCGUGGCUUGUAGGCAUCUGCUUUGUCCUCACGAGGCCUUUCCUCUGAGCACACCAGGAGAGAGAAAGGGAGCUCUCUGGUGUCUCUUCUUCUAAGGACACUAAUCCUAUAGGGUCAGGGCUCUACCCUUAUGACCUCAUUUAACCUUAGUUACCUCCUCAAGGCCCCGUCUCCAAAUACAGUUAUGUGAGGGGCUAGGGCUUCAGUAUAUGAAUCUGAGGGACGCAAUUUAGUCUGUAGCAGGUGGUGCAAAUAAUAAACACAAAUAUCAUAAGUGUAACUCCAAAUGAGAAAUGGUCGGUAUGAGCCCCUUCUCUCAGCAGCCUGGGGCCUCGAUUAGCACUGCCAAUUCUCCCAAACCUCUUCCUCCCCAAGCCUCGUUACUGCACUCCCCACCUGGAGUCCUCGCUGUCUCUCUGGGAAUUAGUUUUUACUCAGGCAAGAGGAAGGAAGGGGUCACUCUAAUUGUCCACAAAUGGAUCACAAUUGAUUCCAUUGCUGACCCUCCUCUCCCUGCCUGGAGGCAGAAGGGCUUGGGGCGAAUGGCUGAAAAUUGAAAUUAAAGCAGAAGACACUUCUGGAAACAAGGAAAACCUUUUCUGUAAGGAACAUAAAAUUCUUUGAGUGAGAACUAAAUAAGAGUGUGGAGUGGCUUUCCUUUGAGGUGUUUGUGAAGAAAAUACAUCAUGGCUGCUGUGCCUGCUUAGUCCUGGGUGACUGAAAUCCGUCAUGACAUCAACCAAGGCCUGGGUUAACUUUUUCUUCUUAACUAGAAAAUUUCUUGAUAACCCAUAUUACUGAAAAGAAUUGACAGAUAUUUGACAGAUAUAACCUAUCCAUUUAUUCAUUUGUAUGCAAAAUCUAUUUUGUAUUUACGUGUAACAUUGUCCUUUGCACUAUUACUUUAAUGGCAAGUUUAUUACUCUGUAUCUGUUUCAAAGUUUGCAUACCCAGGCCUCAGGCCACAGUCACAAGGUUGGACAAACUCACCUUCCAGAUCCCCGUCUAGUUCCUAGAACCUUCUCAUGUGCCCUGCCAGAGGCACCUGGAGAUGUGGGGGGUUGCCUGAGCCGAGAAAGACAUUUCAUCUUUAAAAAGAAUGUGGAGCAACAAAAUAAAUAAAGUAGUAUUGGAUUAUGACCCA
rnacentral:lncRNA from 1 species